GAUGAACGCUGGCGGCGUGCCUAAUACAUGCAAGUCGAGCGAACAGAUGAGGAGCUUGCUCCUCUGACGUUAGCGGCGGACGGGUGAGUAACACGUGGAUAACCUACCUAUAAUACUGGGAUAACUUCGGGAAACCGGAGCUAAUACCGGAUAAUAUAUUGAACCGCAUGGUUCAAUAGUGAAAGACGGCUUUGCGGUCACGUAUAGAUGGAUCCGCGCCUCAUUAGCUAGUUGGUAAGGUAGUGGCUUACCAAGGCAACGAUGGGUAGCCGACCUGAGAGGGUGACCGGCGACAGUGGGACUGCGAGACGGCCCAGACGCCUACGGGAGGCAACAGUGGGGAAUAUGGCACAAUGGUCGGAAGCCGGAUGCGGCAACGCCGCGGGCGGGAUGACGGCCUGUGGGUUGUAAACCGCUGUCGCCUGUGACGAAGCGUGAGUGACGGUAAUGGGUAAAGAAGCACCGGCUAACUACGUG
rnacentral:rRNA from 1 species